GUGCUCAUUUUGGCAGCACAUAUACUAAAAUUGGAAUGAUACAAAGAAGAUUAGCAUGUGGCACCUGCACAACGGCAGCACUCUUAAAAAUAUUCUUAACCUUUUA
ensembl:snRNA U6 U6 spliceosomal RNA